UACGUAGGGCGCAAGCGUUGUUCGGAUUCAUUGGGCGUAAAGGGUGCGUAGGUGGCGGGGUAAGUCAGGUGUGAAAUUUCGGAGCUUAACUCCGAAACUGCAUUUGAUACUGCCUUGCUUGAGGACUGGAGAGGAGACUGGAAUUCACGGUGUAGCAGUGAAAUGCGUAGAUAUCGUGAGGAAGACCAGUGGCGAAGGCGGGUCUCUGGACAGUUCCUGACACUGAGGCACGAAGGCCAGGGGAGCAAACGGG
rnacentral:rRNA from 1 species